UCAACUUCUUAGCCUUUUGGCUAAGAUAAAGUGCUGUCUCUGUUCUUAAUCAGUUUAUUAUACAACAUGUCCUUUGAGGAAAAUAUAUUAAAUUAUAUGGAAAGAGUAAGGUAUUCCAUCUCCCUGCAUAUAUAUGGAAUACCUUACUCUUUCCAUAUAAUGCAUGAAUCUAGCAUUAUGAGACCCUUA